UCACCUGUUUUUCAAAAACAUGUCUUAAAGAUUUUAAUUUUAAGUCAAAUCUGCUCAAUGAAAUAUUUUAAAUAGCUGCAGUAUCUUUAACUGUACUAAGGUAGCAUAAUAAAUAGUUUUUUAAUUAAAAACUUGAAUGAAAGAUUUAAUGAAAUAUAAACUGUCUCAAAUUUAAUAAAUAAAAUUAUUAUUUAAAUUAAAAAAUUUAAAUAAUUUUUAAAGACGAAAAGACCCUAAAGAAUUUUUAUAAUUAAAUUUUAAAAAAUUAAAAUUUAAUUAAUUUAAUUGGGGAAAUUUUAAAAUUUAAUUAAUUUUUAAUUAAUCAAAACAAUUAUUUUUGAAUUUAAAAUCUUUUUUUAAAAAAAAAAAUUAAAUUACCUUAGGGAUAACAGCAUAAUUUUUUUUUAAAGUUCAUAUUUAUAAAAAAGCUUAUGACCUCG
rnacentral:rRNA from 1 species